rnacentral:rRNA from 1 species
AAUAGAUACCCGGGUAGUCCACCCCGUAAACGUUGGGAACUAGUUGUGGGGUCCAUUCCACGGAUUCCGUGACGCAGCUAACGCAUUAAGUUCCCCGCCUGGGGAGUACGGCCGCAAGGCUAAAACUCAAAGGAAUUGACGGGGACCCGCACAAGCGGCGGAGCAUGCGGAUUAAUUCGAUGCAACGCGAAGAACCUUACCAAGGCUUGACAUAUACGAGAACGGGCCAGAAAUGGUCAACUCUUUGGACACUCGUAAACAGGUGGUGCAUGGUUGUCGUCAGCUCGUGUCGUGAGAUGUUGGGUUAAGUCCCGCAACGAGCGCAACCCUCGUUCUAUGUUGCCAGCACGUAAUGGUGGGAACUCAUGGGAUACUGCCGGGGUCAACUCGGAGGAAGGUGGGGAUGACGUCAAAUCAUCAUGCCCCUUAUGUCUUGGGCUUCACGCAUGCUACAAUGGCCGGUACAAAGGGCUGCAAUACCGCGAGGCGGAGCGAAUCCCAAAAAGCCGGUCCCAGUUCGGAUUGAGGUCUGCAACUCGA